CCUACGGUGGGCUGCAGUGGGGAAUAUUGGACAAUGGGCGAAAGCCUGAUCCAGCCAUGCCGCGUGUGUGAAGAAGGCCUUCGGGUUGUAAAGCACUUUCAGUGGGGAAGAAAGCCUUGGGGCUAAUACCCUCGAGGAAGGACAUCACCCACAGAAGAAGCACCGGCUAACUCCGUGCCAGCAGCCGCGGUAAUACGGAGGGUGCGAGCGUUAAUCGGAAUUACUGGGCGUAAAGCGCGCGUAGGCGGUCUGAUAAGCCGGUUGUGAAAGCCCCGGGCUCAACCUGGGAACGGCAUCCGGAACUGUCAGGCUAGAGUGCAGGAGAGGAAGGUAGAAUUCCCGGUGUAGCGGUGAAAUGCGUAGAGAUCGGGAGGAAUACCAGUGGCGAAGGCGGCCUUCUGGACUGACACUGACGCUGAGGUGCGAAAGCGUGGGUAGCAAACAGGAUUAGUUACCCUAGUAGUC
rnacentral:rRNA from 1 species